rnacentral:piRNA from 1 species
GGCUAUUUGUUACACCGUCCGUGGGC